CGUGACUAUGAAACAUUUGCAGGUCAUAUCAACCAUUCUAUUUUCUGGAAAAAUCUAGCUCCUGUUCGUGAAGGAGGUGGUGAACCACCCAAGGGAUCAUUGGGAUGGGCUAUUGACACACAUUUUGGCUCCUUUGAUGCAUUGAUACAAAAAGUUAAUGCAGAAGGUGCAGCGCUACAGGGGUCUGGAUGGGUGUGGCUUGGUCUGGACAAAGAGUUGAAGAGGCUUGUGGUUGAAACUACUGCCAACCAGGUAUAGUAUCCCUUCCACCUCCAAUGCCCCUCCCCUU